rnacentral:tRNA from 1 species
GGGGGUAUAGCUCAGCUGGGAGAGCGCUACACUGGCAGUGUAGAGGUCAGCGGUUCGAGCCCGCUUAUCUCCACCA